rnacentral:rRNA from 1 species
CCAAGGAGUCUAACAUGUGCGCGAGUCACUCGGUCUUGUUUAGGCCAGAGAGGCGCAAUGAAAGUAAAGUUGAUCGAGUUACGAUCCUCAUUUAGUUACCAAAAGUAACGGUGAGGCGCAGUAACAGCCCGCCAAUUUCGCUUUUUGUCGAUAUGGCGGAGUUGUAGCGUACACGUUGGUACCCGAAAGAUGGUGAACUAUGCCUGGGCAAGACGAAGCCAGAGGAAACUCUGGUGGAGGUCUGUAGCGAUUCUGACGUGCAAAUCGAUCGUCAGACCUGGGUAUAGGGGCGAAAGACUAAUCGAACCAUC